UGAACCCACACCUCCACAGUGACCCGAGCCGCUGCAGUGAGAUUCUUAUCCCACUGCACCACAGUGGGAACUCCAGGACCAGAUAAUGUUCAGAAUCCUUGCAAGGGGGACUUUGAGCAAGAAGGUAGCACGUGUCAAACUGCAUCUCAGGAUGAGCAGCCCUGAGGAGAAAGGGGGGCAGGGGAGAGCCCAACUUUCGCCCCAGGCCGGAGACCAGAAGAGGGGCUGUCCCCUUGGAGAGAAAGAAGCCUUCACCUGGUGACCGCUGGGUUAUCGUAACAACCCGGGACCAGUACUCUGGGCCAGAAAAUAGGGUUUCCUUCUUUUUAUGGAAGAGACUUCAAGCUAACCUUCCUGAUGAAUCUUGGUCUACAGAACUGACCUUCAGAACCCAAGAAGGUUUGCUUGGAGAAUGUAGAGAGAAUGCAGGGGCCUCUGAAAGAAUGAGGGUUUAUACAGCUUUCAGGAGAAACCGUGGAUACAGAUGCCAAGAGGCUGCAGCUUGGGGCCAGGAAGUAAAGGGCUUUUUCCUUUAUCUUGGGAUCUAGAAAGCUCCGACUAGAGGUAGCAGAAAAAGUCGGGCAGGAAUGCAGAGUUGCUGCAAAUGAGGAUGCGGCCACAGAAAAGCAUGUCAGAAAGAGGCUGCUCAGUGCUCCAUCCUGGAACCCCCCAGCACCCCUGGUGGAUUUCUUCACACGGAGGAAAAGCUCCCAUGGCAGGGCCCACCUGUGCUCUAUGUGAGACCCAAAGCCAGAGACAGAGCGCCAGAGCCAAGCAUUAGCCGUUCUGUACCUCCUUCUUCCACUUGGGGGCGCAAGAGAUUCACCCGAACCAGUGCUGACCCACCUCCAGGGUGCACCCCGCCUAGCGAGCAGUGUCUUUUUUCACAAUCGACGCAUUGCCGUGGGAUGCGGCCAUGGGGCAGAAGACUAGCUUUCAGCAGCUCAGAGAGUAAAGGAUGAAAUUACAGGUAUCUAGCCUCUCCUGGGACCUUGAAUUACUGUUCACAGCCCGGCAUUUGAUUCAGAUUUCCAGGCUGAGAAGAAUGGGUUCAUUAAGUCCCAGAAAUCCCAAGCAGAAGGAGUUACAUGGUGGAAACCUCCCAUCGCCGUUCCUGUCCAUCCAUUUCUCCCGUCUGCUGUCAUGAGGCUUAUCCAUGCUGAAAUCCGCCUCUCCAUCACUUUCCCCACUUUAGAGUAUACAGCGCUGUGGAGCUGGUGGGAGUUUCCUCAGCUUCCUGACUGGCUCACCAAUUGUGGGGCUGCACCCCGCAGGCCUGCAAGCCUUGUGAUUGCCCAGCCUCAGGACUGAAAUGAGAGCCCGGGGACAGUGACAGCGACACCAGUGGCUUAACAGAUGGGGGAUCUUACAUGUCUGAAGCAAAGAGUCCUGGAUCGCAUCUCCACCACGCACGGCCAACCGCAGACAGAACGCGACAGCCAACUUCCCUGCUUAAGAAAGCAGGAGACUCCCAUUUAUGAGGGGAAUUGACCUCAGGCUGGCUCAUCAGUUACCAGGGAAACCGGUCACGCAGGCAGUUCCUGAUUAAGCCCUAUAAUUAAGAGGGUUGGCUGGCGAUGCGAGGGAAGCAGGGCCUGCGAGCAGGGAUGGGCAGAGAGCAAGAGCACAGCCACCUGGAGUGGCCUGACCAUAUACCUGGCAGCCACUAAUCUCCUUUCUCUGUGGAUCCGCCUACUCUCAACACUGCAUAUAAAUGGAACUAUGCAUUAGGUGGCCUUUUGUGUCUGGCCUCUUUCACUUAGCACAAUGUUUAAAUGCAUGUCUCAUGUAUCCAACCAUAUUCAAAUAAAGUGGGUUCUGG